rnacentral:rRNA from 1 species
ACGGAAGGCAGCAGUGGGGAACAUUGGACAAUGGGGGAAACCCUGAUCCAGCGACGCCGCGUGAGUGAAGAAGUAUUUCGGUAUGUAAAGCUCUAUCAGCAAGGAAGAAAAUGACGGUACUUGACUAAGAAGCUCCGGCUAAAUACGUGCCAGCAGCCGCGGUAAUACGUAUGGAGCAAGCGUUAUCCGGAUUUACUGGGUGUAAAGGGAGCGUAGACGGCAAAGCAAGUCUGAAGUGAAAUCCCGGGGCUCAACCCCGGAACUGCUUUGGAAACUGUUUAGCUAGAGUGCAGGGGAGGUAAGCGGAAUUCCUAGUGUAGCGGUGAAAUGCGUAGAUAUUAGGAGGAACACCAGUGGCGAAGGCGGCUUACUGGACUGUAACUGACGUUGAGGCUCGAAAGCGUGGGGAGCAAACAGGAUUAGAUACCCUGGUA